rnacentral:tRNA from 1 species
GGCGUCGUAGCUCUGUUGGCUAGAGCAUUGGCUGUACUAAAGUCUUUUUUGCUGGCAUGGGUUCGAAUCCCACCGAGGCCG